AGCGAACGCUGGCGGCAGGCCUAACACAUGCAAGUCGAACGAACCUUUCGGGGUUAGUGGCGGACGGGUGAGUAACACGUGGGAACGUGCCUUUAGGUUCGGAAUAACUCAGGGAAACUUGUGCUAAUACCGAAUGUGCCCUUCGGGGGAAAGAUUUAUCGCCUUUAGAGCGGCCCGCGUCUGAUUAGCUAGUUGGUUGAGGUAAUGGCUCACCAAGGCGACGAUCAGUAGCUGGUCUGAGAGGAUGAUCAGCCACAUUGGGACUGAGACACGGCCCAAACUCCUACGGGAAGCAGCAGUGGGGAAUCUUGCGCAAGGGGCGAAAGCCUGACGCAGCCAUGCCGCGUGAAUGAUGAAGGUCUUAGGAUUGUAAAAUUCUUUCACCGGGGACGAUAAUGACGGUAUCCGGAGAAGAAGCCCCGGCUAACUUCGUG
rnacentral:rRNA from 1 species